rnacentral:rRNA from 1 species
UUCUCUUGUGUUCUUUUUGAUAGGAGAAUGGCACCAAGGAAGAUCUCCGGGGGGCGGCGGCACCUUUGGGUUUUCCCCUAUCUCAAGCGGUGGCGCACACGAGGUGGCAUUUCGAUGAGUGCCUACCAGCGUCUUCCUUACCUCAAGGAUGACCUACGCCAACUGUCCAAGGGCCACGCCCUCCUCAAACGACUGUCAGAACUGUUGGGUCUAGGCCAGGGCGAGCGCAUGGAAGACCUCUUCCCGCCACGUUUAGGCCUCAAACCUGCCCCUCUUCUGGUGAGACCCUAACGACUAUAGGACACGCUGCCACACGAUUGACUGCGGGUUCCCCCACGGGUAGUUGCUGCACAACUCAGAGGCUGCUCCAGCCGGGUUAGCUGCCCGUCCCAAUUAGGUCUCCGGGGUCCGACCUGGUUUUCCGAAGCAGAACCUUCACGCGGUGGACUGGCACACGGUACAGGUAGUUCUUACUCGCGAGAUCUCGACAGCUAUUCCUUUAUACGACUCGUUGGAUUGUUCUCGCACCACGCUGGACUCGAUCCCGAAUCAAAGCUAAGCGAUCCUCUCCGCAUACUAAAGAUGUUGAAUAUAAGUACCCUUUAACCUAAACCCUAUUUUAUACCCUUUUCGUCCGACUUGCGGCUCUCUUGUUUUUCGUACGUCCUCUAUCAUACGCCAACGAGCCACUCACAGACAAACGAACAUACAUAUUAUUCUUCGCCGUCACAUGACCGACCACAAGGUUGGACUUCAACUACUUAAACUUAGUCGAACCCCCCGUGACGACCUGUUCAUGUUGAACUCCAGAGUAUCGAUAUACUGUGUUUAUAUACUCUGUUCCUUUUUUACCCGUUUCGGUAUAAAGUCCCCACACAAGACACGCUUCUACUGUUCAUGGGUCACUUCACUCUCGCGUUUGGUGUACGACUUUAGAAUGUACGGCGGACGCUCGGCUUACGUACAAAAGCAGGCCGUUAUGUGCUCUGAAGUUAAACUGGCCCUUGCGCUGCUUUCGAUGCUCCUUUUCUCCUGGUACUAACCUCCGCGGCAGGCCGCCUGAUUGGAACGCUAACUCGCCGUGCGGUCGUUUUAUAUAUGGUCCUUAUACAAACUCCUUAAACCGGCCGACGAAAAUCUUCCCUGCCGUAUGUUGCAGUGACUUCAACUCUCCUACUUCUUUAUGUAGUGUUGUGUGUUAUUACGUCGCUUCUCUCUCUUCACCUCGUCUCACCUUAUACUCCACUGGUAGUUGCUACUGUUUAGUUAUAAGUGCACGCUCACACCAGUCAAACUUGUGUGUUCCUACGAAACGACGGUACGGAAUUCCCACUCCACUACCUCUAAGAUGUAAACCUGCUCUAAGGCUUCGUGGUAUAGGAAUUUGCCACCUGUUCUCUGCGUUCCCUAUAUGAGGGUCUAGUGGACCAAGUCAUGGUCUUCCUGUUUCGUGUAUUAAACAGAAAGUGUACGUCUGUGCGCUCCGAUAUGAAAUUCCGGUACCUCCAUCACGCUUACCCCCUGCGUUCGUGACGUACGAUACUCGUGUACGUACGGCCGGACCUAAGAGAAGAUGCAAGACCUCGUGGAGACCGCCAGUGUUCCCUGCCAAACCGAAAGCUCCUAGCAGAGUAAGUUUUACCUUUACCGACAGUCCGACGCUUACCGCUCGGACGAAACCAACUAGUACCUCGACUUGGUACGGUGUCACGACGCUUAAGACAUUUACACUUACGGGACGUCACGGAGCUCCGCGGUCUGUUCGCAUCUCCACGACCGUCCGGCUGCUUGACAUCCCUCUUCCGGGGCAUGCUUCCCGACUCAUUCUCUUGGUCCAAGACGUCGUAAACGACGGCACUCCCGGUGUUCUCCUGGUGUACGGGUCCCUCUCCCCUACGCGGUUUCUUCGGCGCCUUUGGGCCGUCUACGUUCUUGACGUCGUAUCUUCCCGUAGCCGCCCUAUGUACGUUCUCUGGAGAAUCCAAACGGCUCUCGACUCAACACGUAAAAACCUAACGUAGCCAACUCCAAUGGACAAAGGAAACUCCGAUUUGUAUGUCAGACGUGGACAACUCGCAACGAACGCGUAACGUAGGUCAAAAGAAAUUAUUACACACGACUAUUUUUUGAAAAAUGCUGACUCCUUGAAACACCGAUAUACACAACCGC